rnacentral:rRNA from 3 species
UACGUACUGUGCGAACGUUAUUCGGAAUCACUGGGCUUAAAGGGUGCGUAGGCGGCCGAUUAAGUAGGGUGUGAAAUGCCUCGGCUCAACCGAGGAAUGGCGCUCUAAACUGGUCGGCUUGAGUGAGAUAGGGGUGUGCGGAACUUCCAGUGGAGCGGUGAAAUGUGUUGAUAUUGGAAGGAACGCCGGUAGCGAAAGCGGCACACUGGGUCUCAACUGACGCUGAGGCACGAAAGCCAGGGUAGCGAACGGG